CAUUCUCAUCUGCAGACUGUUCACUAUCACUACCCAUAUCGGUCAUUGCUUUAUCCAUCUCUUCAGAAUCAAAGUCACUUUCCUCUUCAUCCAUUUCCAAUUGUGGUUUGGAAUCAACAAGAGCUUUCCAAACUUCAUCCUCGUCAAUUUCACCCUCUUCAUCCCUAUCCACCUUUGUCUUUCUAGCCUGCUUUCCCUUGAUAUAUUUAUCAUUGAAAAAGCGAUAAAAGAAAAGCUCAUCAACAGGAAUCUCCUCUUGUUUCUUUGAAGUGAACUGCUCAGAGUUCAUUGGAACACCACUGUACGUAGAACCAGGAACAUAACCUUUGCUCAGGCCUCCA